UACGUAGGGUGCGAGCGUUGUCCGGAAUUAUUGGGCGUAAAGAGCUCGUAGGCGGUUUGUCGCGUCGGCCGUGAAAACUUGGGGCUUAACCCCAAGCCUGCGGUCGAUACGGGCAGACUUGAGUUCGGCAGGGGAGACUGGAAUUCCUGGUGUAGCGGUGAAAUGCGCAGAUAUCAGGAGGAACACCGGUGGCGAAGGCGGGUCUCUGGGCCGAUACUGACGCUGAGGCGCGAAAGCGUGGGGAGCAAACAGG
rnacentral:rRNA from 1 species